AGGGGUGUAGCUUGGUGGUAGAGCAUUUGCUUAGCAUGCAAAGUCCUGAGUUCAAUCUCCAACACCACUG
rnacentral:tRNA from 1 species